rnacentral:sRNA from 1 species
AACUAGCAAGUGCGUUAGGGAUUGCAGCGGCAUCCUUUUUUACUUUUUCUGUAAAAAAGAUAUAGCGGAAAGCCCGACCCUUG